GGUUAAGCGAUUAAGCGUACACGGUGGAUGCCCUGGCAGUCAGAGGCGAUGAAGGGCGUGCUAAUCUGCGAUAAGCGCCGGUAAGGUGAUAUGAACCGUUAUAACCGGCGAUACCCGAAUGGGGAAACCCAGUGUGACUCGUCACACUAUCAUUAACUGAAUCCAUAGGUUAAUGAGGCGAACCGGGGGAACUGAAACAUCUAAGUACCCCGAGGAAAAGAAAUCAACCGAGAUUCCCCCAGUAGCGGCGAGCGAACGGGGAGGAGCCCAGAGCCUGAAUCAGCAUGUGUGUUAGUGGAAGCGUCUGGAAAGGCGCGCGAUACA
rnacentral:rRNA from 1 species